UACAGAGGUCCCAAGCGUUGUUCGGAUUCACUGGGCGUAAAGGGUGCGUAGGUGGUCAGGUAAGUCGGAUGUGAAAUCUCCGAGCUCAACUCGGAAACUGCAUUGGAAACUACCUGGCUCGAGGGUUGGAGGGGGGACUGGAAUGCUUGGUGUAGCAGUGAAAUGCGUAGAUAUCAAGCGGAACACCAGUGGCGAAGGCGAGUCCCUGGGCAACUCCUGACACUGAUGCACGAAAGCUAGGGGAGCAAACAGG
rnacentral:rRNA from 1 species